AGAGUUUGAUCCUGGCUCAGAGCGAACGCUGGCGGCAUGCCUAACACAUGCAAGUCGAACGAAGGCUUCGGCCUUAGUGGCGCACGGGUGCGUAACGCGUGGGAAUCUGCCCUUAGGUUCGGAAUAACAGCUGGAAACGGCUGCUAAUACCGGAUGAUAUCGCGAGAUCAAAGAUUUAUCGCCUGAGGAUGAGCCCGCGUUGGAUUAGGUAGUUGGUGGGGUAAAGGCCUACCAAGCCGACGAUCCAUAGCUGGUCUGAGAGGAUGAUCAGCCACACUGGGACUGAGACACGGCCCAGAUUCCUACGGGAGGCAGCAGUGGGGAAUAUUGGACAAUGGGCGAAAGCCUGAUCCAGCAAUGCCGCGUGAGUGAUGAAGGCCCUAGGGUUGUAAAGCUCUUUUACCCGGGAAGAUAAUGACUGUACCGGGAGAAUAAGCCCCGGCUAACUCCGUGCCAGCAGCCGCGGUAAUACGGAGGGGGCUAGCGUUGUUCGGAAUUACUGGGCGUAAAGCGCACGUAGGCGGCUUUGUAAGUCAGAGGUGAAAGCCUGGAGCUCAACUCCAGAACUGCCUUCGAGACUGCAUCGCUUGAAUCCAGGAGAGGUCCGUGGAAUUCCGAGUGUAGAGGUGAAAUUCGUAGAUAUUCGGAAGAACACCAGUGGCGAAGGCGGCUGACUGGACUGGUAUUGACGCUGAGGUGCGAAAGCGUGGGGAGCAAACAGGAUUAGAUACCCUGGUAGUCCACGCCGUAAACGAUGAUAACUAGCUGUCCCGGGCACUUGGUGCUUGGGUGGCGCAGCUAACGCAUUAAGUUAUCCGCCUGGGGAGUACGGCCGCAAGGUUAAAACUCAAAGGAUUUGACGGGGGCCUGCACAAGCGGUGGAGCAUGUGGUUUAUUCGAUGCAACGCGAGGAACCUUACCAGGGCUUG
rnacentral:rRNA from 1 species